UACGUAGGGGGCAAGCGUUGUCCGGAUUUAUUGGGCGUAAAGAGCGUGUAGGCGGCCAUACAGGUCAGCUGUGAAAACUCGAGGCUCAACCUCGAGACGUCGGUUGAAACCGUAUGGCUAGAGUCCGGAAGAGGAGAGUGGAAUUCCCGGUGUAGCGGUGAAAUGCGCAGAUAUCGGGAAGAACACCUAUGGCGAAAGCGGCUCACUGGACCACAACUGACGCUGAGGCGCGAAAGCUAGGGGAGCAAACAGG
rnacentral:rRNA from 1 species